UACACACGUGUUACAAUGGGGGGUACAGAGGGCCGCUACCACGCGAGUGGAUGCCAAUCCCUAAAACCCCUCUCAGUUCGGACUGGAGUCUGCAACCCGACUCCACGAAGCUGGAUUCGCUAGUAAUCGCGCAUCAGCCACGGCGCGGUGAAUACGUUCCCGGGCCUUGUACACACCGCCCGUCAAGCCAUGGGAGCCGGGGGUACCUGAAGUGCGUAACCGCGAGGAUCGCCCUAGGGUAAAACUGGUGACUGGGGCUAAGUCGUAACAAGGUAAC
rnacentral:rRNA from 1 species